rnacentral:rRNA from 1 species
GUCUAUGGUCAUACCACCCUGAAUGAACCCAAUUUUGUCUGUUCUCGGAAGCUAAGCAGGGUCUAGCCUUGGUUAGGACUUGGAUGGGAGACCACCUGGAAACACCAGGUGUUGGAGGCU